rnacentral:lncRNA from 1 species
UUUGAGGUUUUGUAUAAUGAUGGUUCUUGAGAUUUGUAUAGAUUAUUGAUUUGUGUGCUAGAUGGAUGGUUUGGAGCAUUCUAAGCGAUAUGGAUUGAAGAUUUGCCUAGUUUGGUCCAUAUAGACAUCUUUCCGACAACCAUGCUACCCUGAAUUGAGCGACUAGUAUGAUUCUGCUCCAAAGUUUUGAAAUUGAGUAGUUUUUUCUUAUUUUCCAAUUAGGUGGUUGGAGUUUUAAUGUCUUUGUUUGAUGUUUGAAUUUUAAUGUUAUAAACUUGGAAGUGAUAAUAUAUGUAUAUAAUUCUUUGGCAUCAUACUUUAUGGUAGCAAGUAGUGGAGUUAGUUGUGAGCAUUGAUAGCAGUAUUCCAGUGAAUACAUAAACCCUGGAGAUGGAUAAGCUCUCACCUACAGAUUAAGGAGUUCUACACGGAGGUUACUCAAACAACUCUAUGUGCUACAACAUAUGUAGUUGACAGGGAAACUAUCUGUCUUAGCACAGAUGGUUCACUCACAGAAGAAAGGGCAGGAGUAGGUGGCAUUUUCAGAGAUUAUGCAGGUAACACUCUAAUGGCUUUAUUUGGAGGCACAAAGAAAACAACAAUCGCAGCCAGUGAAAUGGAGGCUAUUGUAACUGGUAUGCAGUUGGCUGCUGAGUGCUGAUAUGGGCUAUAAGAGGCUAAAGUUGGGGUUGACCAAUAAACAAGCAGUCGAUGGCUUUCAAUGGUACACGACCCCAUCAUGGAAAGCAAGAAGAUAUGUGAACCGAGCUAGGCAUCUUGGACAAGGACUGGAAAAGAUCACAGUGCACCACAUCUAUAAGGAAUCUAAUAGAUGUGCUGAUUACCAAGAAGGUUUACCAUCUAGGUACGACAGAUCCUUUUAUGUAUUUCAAGAAAAUUUUGUAGGGUACCAGAACCUGGCUAUAACAUUAUCUUCCCUAUGCACCUCUUUCAUAUGCAAAACUUUGUGUUGCUUUUGACACUUGAAUUCAAGCUUGGAAUGAUACUCUUUAAACGUACUGCAACAACUUUUCAAAUACCACUUUUAGGCUUGC